rnacentral:rRNA from 1 species
GAUGAACGCUGGCGGCGUGCCUAACACAUGCAAGUCGAGCGAACGGACGAGAAGCUUGCUUCUCUGAUGUUAGCGGCGGACGGGUGAGUAACACGUGGAUAACCUACCUAUAAGACUGGGAUAACUUCGGGAAACCGGAGCUAAUACCGGAUAAUAUUUUGAACUGCAUGGUUCAUAAGUGAAAGACGGCCUUGCUGUCACUUAUAGAUGGAUCCGCGCUGCAUUAGCUAGUUGGUAAGGUAACGGCUUACCAAGGCAACGAUGCGUAGCCGACCUGAGAGGGUGAUCGGCCACACUGGAACUGAGACACGGUCCAGACUCCUACGGGAGGCAGCAGUAGGGAAUCUUCCGCAAUGGGCGAAAGCCUGACGGAGCAACGCCGCGUGAGUGAUGAAGGUCUUCGGAUCGUAAAACUCUGUUAUUAGGGAAGAACAGAUGUGUAAGUAGCUGUGCACAUCUUGACGGUACCUAAUCAGAAAGCAACGGCUAACUACGUG